rnacentral:rRNA from 1 species
GACGAACGCUGGCGGCGCGCCUAACACAUGCAAGUCGAACGAGCGAGAGAGAGCUUGCUUUCUCGAGCGAGUGGCGAACGGGUGAGUAACGCGUGAGGAACCUGCCUCAAAGAGGGGGACAACAGUUGGAAACGACUGCUAAUACCGCAUAAGCCCACAGGUCGGCAUCGACCAGAGGGAAAAGGAGCAAUCCGCUUUGAGAUGGCCUCGCGUCCGAUUAGCUAGUUGGUGAGGUAACGGCCCACCAAGGCGACGAUCGGUAGCCGGACUGAGAGGUUGAACGGCCACAUUGGGACUGAGACACGGCCCAGACUCCUACGGGAGGCAGCAGUGGGGAAUAUUGCACAAUGGGGGAAACCCUGAUGCAGCGACGCCGCGUGGAGGAAGAAGGUCUUCGGAUUGUAAACUCCUGUUGUUGAGGAAGAUAAUGACGGUACUCAACAAGGAAGUGACGGCUAACUACGUGCCAGCAGCCGCGGUAAAACGUAGGUCACAAGCGUUGUCCGGAAUUACUGGGUGUAAAGGGAGCGCAGGCGGGAAGACAAGUUGGAAGUGAAAUCUAUGGGCUCAACCCAUAAACUGCUUUCAAAACUGUUUUUCUUGAGUAGUGCAGAGGUAGGCGGAAUUCCCGGUGUAGCGGUGGAAUGCGUAGAUAUCGGGAGGAACACCAGUGGCGAAGGCGGCCUACUGGGCACCAACUGACGCUGAGGCUCGAAAGUGUGGGUAGCANACAGG